UACGGAGGGGGCUAGCGUUGUUCGGAAUUACUGGGCGUAAAGCGCACGUAGGCGGUUUUGCAAGUCAGAGGUGAAAGCCCGGAGCUCAACUCCGGAAUUGCCUUUGAGACUGCAUCACUUGAACGUCGGAGAGGUGAGUGGAAUUCCGAGUGUAGAGGUGAAAUUCGUAGAUAUUCGGAAGAACACCAGUGGCGAAGGCGGCGAUCUGGGCAGAUACUGACGCUGAGGUGCGAAAGCGUGGGGAGCAAACAGG
rnacentral:rRNA from 1 species